ACAUUAACAUGUAAUUCUCUCGAACACCUUCUCUUUACAUCAAGGAUGCAUGGAUUGCAUAUGGAUGCCCAUAUCGAUGGCACGUGGCCAUCGGGCAUGCGCAUGGGCAAAAAAGGAAUAGAAGAAAGCCAUGGAUCAUUGGUGGUAGAUAACACUUUUGCAACAGAAGGUGACAAUGAGAGUAUAAAAAUCAAAAGGUCAUGAAGAGAAAAGCUGGGUGAGAGUAUGAUGGUAGAGGGGAACAUGAGGGGUAUGAGCACUAUAGCAUGUUGCUGAAGGACAGGGACAGCCCUGAGUGGGUCAUCAGUGUCGUU
rnacentral:lncRNA from 1 species